rnacentral:rRNA from 1 species
AUGGAGAUCAUCACCAAGCGCCCCAGGGAGAGGCGGGGCAAUGCCGCCGACGGCGAGCCGCUCCCGCAGCUGCUCGACUCGCCGCUCCCCACGCCGCGCCGCUCGUGCGCCUCGGCGGACGCGCCCGGCAGCAGCCUGCGGUGCGCCGCCUCGCCGCUGCGGACGCAUGUGCCUUUCUCCUGGGAGAGCUCCCCUGGCGUGCCCAAGAGCGGCAGGGACACGCGGGAGGAGACGAUGCCGCCGCCCAAGCUGCCGCCCGGGCGCUGGCCGCCGCAGUGCCCCACGAGGACCAACUGGUGCUACGGCAACGGGAGCGAGGCCAGCAGCGACGACUGCGACGCGUCGUCCUUCUCCGACGCCCUGGACAGGACGUCCUCCUCGCCCGCCCGGAUCGGCUCCUUCGACCGGGUCACGUCCAAGCGCUUCGAGGACAUCUUCCUCGGCCGCACCGAGAGCUUCGCCAAGGACCGGUCCUACUCCUCCCGCCACGCGCCCACGGGCGAGCCCAGCGCCGUCGUCGCCGCGUCGUCGUCCUCGGCGAGACACACGAAGCACUGGCGUCGACGCGGCAGCUCGCGCCACCACGAUGACGACGACGGGGAGUGGCCGAAGAGCAACGACCCCGUGAAGGUCAUGCCGCGCGUCGAGCAGAUGUCCCCGAGAGCAUGCGGGCUCAUGGUGUUCUUCCCAUGGAGCGCGAAGCGGGCGGCCUGCGGGGUCAGGAGCCCGUCGACGACGCGUCGCGCCGGCGUCAUUGAUCAUUCGCCCUCCCGCGGCCGCGGCAACCCUACCCUGCGCGACGCUCUGCAGGAGGACAACAAGACCGAGGACAUGGACGUGCACGACCCGCCGCAGCAGCCGCGUGGGGAGAAGAGGGGCCGCGAGGAAUGGCAUGGCCGCGGGUGGGGCGUCUCGUCGCUGCUCGACACGAGCAAGAGGUACUGCACCGACGCACGGAAAGCCCUGAGCAAGCUAUCCAUCGGCCUGGGCGCCGACAGUGGCAGCCCGAGAGUUGGCAGGGACAGGAGGAGCGGCACGCAGGAUGCCACGUCCACAACGACGACCGGGCCCGUCGCCGGCGCCAAGCUGACGAAACUCAAGUCUAACAGAAAUUAA